rnacentral:rRNA from 1 species
GACGAACGCUGGCGGCGUGCUUAACACAUGCAAGUCGAACGGAAAGGCCCUGCUUUUGUGGGGUGCUCGAGUGGCGAACGGGUGAGUAACACGUGAGUAACCUGCCCUUGACUUUGGGAUAACUUUAGGAAAAUGGGGAUAAUACCGGAUAGGAGCUCCUGAUGCACGGUGGGGGUUAGAAAGUUUCGGCGGUUGGGGCUGGUAUUGAGGCUUACCAGCUUGUUGGUGGGGUAGUGGCUUACCACGGCUUUGACGGGUAGCCGGCCUGAGAGGGUGACCGGCCACCUUGGGACUGAGAUACGGCGCAGACUCCAACGGGAGGCAGCAGGGGGGAAUAUUGCACAAUGGCCGGAAGCCUGAUACAGCAGCCUCGCGUGCGGGAUGACGGCCUUCGGGUUGUAAACCGCUUUCGCCUUUGACGAAGCGGGAGUGACGGUAAUGGGUAAAGAAGCACCGGCUAACUACGUG